rnacentral:rRNA from 1 species
CACUCCUACGGGAGGCAGCAGUGGGGAAUAUCGCACAAUGGGCGCAAGCCUGAUGCAGCCAUGCCGCGUGUAUGAAGAAGGCCUUCGGGUUGUAAAGUACUUUCAGCGGGGAGGAAGGCGAUAAGGUUAAUAACCUUGUCGAUUGACGUUACCCGCAGAAGAAGCACCGGCUAACUCCGUGCCAGCAGCCGCGGUAAUACGGAGGGUGCAAGCGUUAAUCGGAAUUACUGGGCGUAAAGCGCACGCAGGCGGUCUGUCAAGUCGGAUGUGAAAUCCCCGGGCUCAACCUGGGAACUGCAUUCGAAACUGGCAGGCUAGAGUCUUGUAGAGGGGGGUAGAAUUCCAGGUGUAGCGGUGAAAUGCGUAGAGAUCUGGAGGAAUACCGGUGGCGAAGGCGGCCCCCUGGACAAAGACUGACGCUCAGGUGCGAAAGCGUGGGGAGCAAACAGGAUUAGAUACCCUAGUAGUCCC